UUUUUUUUUUUUUUUUUUGUCUUUUUAGGGCCACACACAUAGCAUACGGAGGUUCCCAAGCUAGGUGUUGAAUAGGCGCCAUAGCUGCCGGCCUACUCCACAGUCACAACCACACCAGAUUUGAGCCACAUCUGCAGCCUAUACCACAGCUUAUGGCAAUGCCGUAGCCUUAACCCACUGAGCAAGGCCAGGGAUCAAACCCACAUCCUCAUGGAUACUAGUCAGGUUCUUAACCUACUGAGCCACAAGGGGAACUCCAAUAUUCUUAAAACAAUGACAUCUGUGGUGUUCAUGCUUUCUCACAAGGCCCUAAGAACACCUCCCAGAUGUUUUAAGGCAUAGCACUGGUUCUCACCCUUGGCUUGUUUAGAAUCACCUGGGGAGUUUCUUAAAAGUAUAGAUGCCUGGGUCCCAUUCCCAAAGAUCCUGGUUCCGUUGGUCAAAGGUACACCUGAGACUUGGCUCCCGUUGCAUAAAGCUCCCAGGGAUCCCAUAUGCAACAAAGUCUGGCAAUCACUGAUCUACAGAAUUGAACCUGUAACUAGAGAUCAGGUAAGGCAAGGACCACUGAGCAGACAAGCUUAGAGCCACCGGACCGUCUCCCUACUUCACUGAGGCCACCACUGAGAAAGAACCUACAACUCUCCUCAGCAAUUUCAAGCUUCUCAUUCCAAACCAAUUAGAAUGGAAGAGAUUAGGCUAAAGUUGAGCUAAUUCCAGAUCUUACCCUGGCAGCUAAUUUUUUGGAAACCAAUCUUUUACCUUCUUCUAAAAAAAUUUUUUUAAACCACUUAAAAAUUAAAAUUAAAAAAAAAAAAAGAAAAAAAAAAACCCAGCUUACCAAAAGUACAGAGACAACAGUCCGGAAAAAUUAAGGCAGUCACAGUUUUGUUUGCUGUAUGGAGGAUAGGAUCUCAUUUCUUCCUAUAUUUUUCUAUCUGUUCAUUAGCCUUGAGUUUGGCUCCAUUUUAAUAGGACACAAGAGUUUGGCUCUAUUUUAUGGGGACAAGAGAAUCAGAAGCAGCUAUUUUUGGAGCCAGACUUCUUUUUAAGGCUGGCAAGGGUAGAGGGGAAUCAGGCAUGUGACCUCCUUUUCCAGCUGACUUCACAAAAGAUGGGGAAGAGGAGGGUAUGCUGGAUGUCCCCAUGAGUCACUGACUCAGAUCCCGCCCUUCUGUUGAUCUGGCCUUAAAGAUCUGGGGUGCUACCUCCAGGACACUGCAGCUGUUCACGUGCCCGCAUUUGGGGAAGUAAGGCCUGGGAAAGCGUCAAUGCAGGGCACAGUUUGCUGCUUAUCAACAGAAUUUUUCCCUGAGAGCUAGGCUUCUUCCUCUCAGAGGUCUGGCCCUGGCAAGUCCCUUCCCAAGCCAGCCUUUCCAAAGAAGCACGCUGAGGGGGUUGCCUCCAGCCUCUCAGCUUCCUCUCCUUCUUGGGCUCCCCGGCAAGCCUGGCCCCAAAGUGCCUGGUUCCAAGCAGGUCCAAGGCGUGCUGCAGUGGCGAACCUGAGGGUAGAGGGUCAGAACUAGGACCAAUGGCCUGAUGCCAACAGAAAGGCUGAGUUAAAUGUAAGCAAUAACUUUCCCAAGAGUUCCAUUUGGGGGAUGCUCCAGUGCUCAGAGAUCCAUGUCAGGGCACGUGUUCACACAGAGCCUUAAGCAAGUCAUAAAGGAGAUCUGGAACCAGACAGAGGUUGACCAGAUGUUCUCCAAAGCCUUGUCCCCACCUGAGAGUAUAUUUUUGUGAAUCCUCAAGUCAUUGGCAGUUCUCCAAGACAAGAGUAAGUUCGAGAAAUCUUUUCCUUAUUGUUUUAAAUGUAAGCAGGAAACAUUUCAAUCAUACCGAAUAAAGAAAAUAAUAAACUAGACUUUUAUAAGCCCCUAAAAUUUUAAGCAUAUUUCACCAAACUUUCUUCAGACCUCUCUUUCUCUGUCCUUUCAAAGAAAUAAAAAUGUUCAGAUACAGUUCCAUUUCUUCAACCUUCCCUUUUCCUUCUCCAAAGGAACUAUUAACCUGAAGUUGGCCUAUAUCAUUCCCAUGUAUGUUUUUGUAAUAAAUAUGAAUAUGUUAAUAAAAAUCAUAUUGUUUACAUUUUAAUAUGAAUUACCUCUCUAUAUAUUACGUACAUGUAUGUCACACACAUGUUCUUUUACAACUUGUUUUUUCACUCAACAUAGUUUUAGAAUUUAUACAUUUUUUUUAAAUGGCUGCAUCCACAGCACAUGGAAGUUCCCAGGCCAGGGAUUGAAUCUGAGCCACAGCUGUGACCUAUGCCACAGCUGCAGCAACGCCAGAUCCUUAACCUACUGCGCCAGGUCGGGGAUGGAACCAGCACCUCCAAAACAACCCACCUGCUUCAGUUGGAUUCUUUUUUUUUUUUAAGGGCUAAACUUGGGGCAUAUGGAAAUUCCCAGGCUAGGUAUCAAAUCAGAGCAGUAGCUGCCAGCCCACAACCACAACAGAGGAUCCGAGCCUCAUCUGCAACCUACACUACAGAACAUGGCAGUGCCAGAUCCUUAACCCACUGAGCAAGGCCAGGGAUCAAACCCAAAUCCUCAUGGAUACUAGUCAGAUUCAUUUCACUGAGCCACAAUGGGAACUCCUGCCACUGUAUUCUUAACCCGCUGCACCACAGCAGGAACUCCAGAAUUUAUAUAUUUUGAUCACAAGUUAGCCUAGGACACUUGUACUAACUUCUGCAUAGUGUAGUAUUCAAUUCUGCUAACACAUUCCAUAAACCACACUUUGUGGGCUGUGUAAUCAAUAUCCUUUUGUGUAUGUGUAUAUAUAUAUAUGUACAUAUAUGUACAUGUGUGUGUAUAUGUGUAUAUGUAUACAUACACAUAAACAACAUAAACACACAAACACAAAUCUGUGCACAUAUAUGAUAGUUUCUCUGGGCUCUGUGCCCAGGAGCAGAAUUGAUAUUUCAUAGAAGGAACACAUCUUCGACUUCAACAGAUAUUGCCAAAUUGUUCUCCAAAGAGACUGGUCCAAUUUACACUCCCACCAGAGUUCCUUUAUGCUCACAUCUCACCAUCCCUGUUGUUGUCAGACUCAAUUAAUUCUUGCUAAUCUGGUAGAUGUGAGUGGUAUUUCAUUGUCUCAAUUUGCAUUUCUCUUAUCUUGGGGAACCGGUUAUAGUUCUUGAGACCGAGAAUAGAAGCUAACCCCUCCUCACUCAACCCCCAACACUUGGUGGAGGAAGGCAAUGCGUGGGAGCCCAGAGGGUGGUAGCCUGAGUCCCAGGACUAGAGCAGGGAUGUUUCACUUAAGGGUCAGGCACAGAUGAGUGUCAGAACAGAGGGCUGAAUUCCAAAAGGACAGGCCAAAGAAAAGGGAACAGAGAAGGGAUAGAGAACUCUGACAUCAGAUAGGUGGACAAGAGCAAAACACAUGGAAUCAUUGGGAAAGGGUCCAUGUUACUUCCUGAGAACAAGGGCAGUAAUUUGCUGCUGGCAGCGGGAGAGAGAGUGGGAAUGGGUUUGGGGCCGCUGAGCAGAAAGGAAGAGAGAGUAACAGGCACCAAGAUCCAGCAACUCAGCCUGCCACCACCGUAUCCUUCCUUGGCCAUCGUAAGUCUCCACUGUGAACCCUGAGAACCCUAAACAACUAUGCAUGCCUUCCUAAAUGAAACUCCUCAGGUCAGGCCAUAAAAUCUGGGCCACACUUGGGUUUGAGGGUUUGGGGUUUUCAUCUCUUUAGGGCAAACAACAACAAAAGCUCUGUGACGGGUGAGUGACUUAUUUUUGGCAAAUUGUUUCUCCUUCUGGUGGCUUCUUUUCAAAACAUGUUUUGGAAACAUUUAGCAGUCUUUCCCAUAGCCCUGCUUCUCAGUGAAGUUAAACAAAGCCAGACUGACGGACAGACUUCAAGGCAUGUAUGCCAAAAUAUGUCUCUCCUAUUAAAGACGCUGGAGCUUUCUGGGAAUAACUCAUGUCCUUGGGGGGCACUGGAGGGUGUGGGAAUCCCAUAUAUCUCCAUGUCCCCUUACCAGGCAAAGCUCUGAGAAGCAGAAUCAUCUAUCAAUGUGUGUGACAGAUAAGGUUCUUAAUGGGGACAGGAAACCACUCUAACCUCAAUAAGUCCAGUUUCAAAGCCAACUUUCCCUUCGGCGCACUUUGCUUCAAGUAUAGCCAACUGCUAAGGACAACAGCCAAGGAAGCCUCCAGAGAGACAGGCGUGGGAGAGCAUGUCACAGCUGCACAAUGGCAUCUGGAGGGGCUCAGACACCAGGACCCUCAUAGCUCCUUUCCCUCAGUUGACACCACAGGAGUAUAAAGUGGGAUGAAGUCCUCAGUCCAAAGUGGACAGGACUGAAUAAAAACCUAGAAACACUGAGGGUCUGGAAUUAUUCUGUAAACUCAAGAUAUAAUAAGGAUUAAUCCUCACUAUUCUGACCUCUCUAAAAUUAAAUAUGAGCAAGAUGUGCUACAUGUUGGAUAACUUGUGGAUGCAAGGCCAUGCAUGAUACUGACAGUCAUUUCUAAUUUCUUGGCUUUGAAACUUACCAUAGAAUAUCUGCAUCUUUGAGGUAAGUUUGCGAGUCCAUUUACUCAGAUACGUGCACCAUACGUGCAUACAGAGCGGCAUCAUAUUUAUAUAAGAACAUUGAUCACACCCUCUGAGAUACCUAACUGCCACACGGCUGUUCCAUUCAAAUUCUUGGUUGAGCACCUGCUAGGUAGGGGUUGGUAGGAACAGGCUUUGGGUAUGUCAGGUCAGCAAGUGGGCAGUUCAGAAACCAUCACACAGGGCCCUAAUAAAGGGACGCUGAUAGAGAGUGGGUCAGGUUAAAAGGGACAGACCGAGGAUAGUGAGGCACCCAGGGACAAGCCACCAGCAGCAGCUGAAGGAACUCAAAGAAGAUGUAGUGUCACUGGAGCAUAGUGGGAUCUGUAGUGACAGAGAGACAGCCACUGACAGAGACUCAGGACAGAGAGAUAACCCAGUCUCUCUCUCUCUCUCUCUCUCUCUCUCUCUCUCUCUCUCUCUCUCUUCCCACCCUGGGACCUCUUGCUGUGUUCUUCUGUUUGCCAAACCCAGUGGAAGGCAGCUGGUUAGGGGUCCUGGGUGAUGCAAUUCUCAGGAGUCAGGCCCCACUAAGCACAUAACAGGGUGGGGAAGAGAAGAGGCCUCGGGGGCUGGAGGGGGUGGGGGCAGUGGAAAAUAAUCAUCAAAGCAGCUCUCCUUCCAUCCCACGCUGGUUUCUGUUUGAACCGGUAUGUCCCUCAACCAGAAGGCACGUGCAGAAAAUGGAACAAAUUCUUUCUUGACUUCUUGAUCGAACAGCUCAUAAAUUCUCCUUGUCCAGGGUCAGUCACCACAUUUCUUUGUAGAAAUAUAGCCCAAUUCAGAGUCAUUUAACUCAACAGUUAACCAAGCAGGAGUCCCCCUUGUAACCUGAACAUGGUCACAGCCAACUCUGUAGGUGAGGAAUUAUAUACUACGUUCUGCUCAAGCAGAAAAAUCCAAACCAACUUGCUACCAGUUUCUAGCAGAGAAACGAGAGCAUCAGGAAGGCCCCAGACCAGAGGAUGCAGUUACUGCUGAUGGGGAAAAUGGCCGGCACUUACUUGUCCCUUACUGUGUGCCAGGCACCCUUCUCCAGGAUUUGGGUGUGCGCUGGUAAGUGCCACCCGUCAAGGCACAGGAUCACGGCGGGGGAGAGAAGGAAAGUUGGGGGACUGAGACCCCUGCCCCCUCUACUUUGGCAGGAACUGUGUGCCUCUAUUAUGCCCACAGUUCCUAUCUAGGGGCCCCUCUCUCCCAAGGCUACAGUUCUCCUUGGGUUUGAGAAAACACUCCCUCUUCUUGCCUCUCCAGGCUCGGAGUGGUAAUAGUGCUUUUCCAUUCUUUGUUGGUUCCCUAACCCUACCCAGCCUCCCCUCUCUAAACUGCUUUUUCAUUAAACUCUCCUCCAUCAUCCCUGUGAGAGUUUCAUCUGCCUCUCGGCAGAUCCCUGGCUUAUACAAGAUAUAUGAAUUCAGUUAAUGAUGCUAUAGCUCCCGGAGUGAGAGGACCACCUUCACAAGUGCACCAUGGAAACUGAUGCUGGCAGGGAGGGGCCAGCCUCCUCUAAGGACAUAGGGAUCUAGAAUAGUGGUCUGUAUUCAAAAAAGAUUAACUUCAUCUUCUUGCUCUUUUUUUUCACAAGGAGUAAGUCAAGCAAUUUUUAGUGAAUCCAGAAAUGGGCUGAACAAUUGCUAUCCUAAGAAAGCACUUGGCAUUCAGAGAAAAACACUUGCUUUUGAGUCAGCCUUCCAAUCAUCCUGACCCCAGCUCCACCACCUACCUGCCAGAUGAUACAAGGCAAGUUACUUCUCUGGGCCUCAAUAUGUUAGUUUGUUAAAUAGGACUAAAGGUAUCUAUCUACAGGGUCAUUAAAAGGUAACAAAUGUUAAAUACCUGGUACAGAGUAUACCUUUACUAAAUCUAAAUUCUUUCCCCCUUUACUUUAAGGAUUCUAUGGUUUUCUCUUGGGUCCUAGUCUUAACUCUACUGCAUAAGAACCUAAGAAUCCUUCUCUGGUUCCCCUCGUUCACAUGAAAUGAAUUCACUUUGCCUCUCCAUCUGGAAUCUAUGAGUCCCGAGGGCUUUAUUCCUGGAGUGGGUGGGAGGAUGAGAUGUGAGAUUCUGGAUGCAGGCAGUUUUUCCUCUGAUGCAGUGCUGCAUGUGUACAUGCACACACACACACACACACACACACACACACACACACAUACACACACACAGGUGUACACAUGCACACACACUGAAAUCCAACCCCGGACAAGCUCAUUCCCACUUAUGACUCAUGCUUCCAUUCAGAUAAUAUUAAUUGGUCCCUGGAGAACAUUACAGGGGAUAAAAUGGCAAGGAUAACAAAUGCAGGAUGAGAGUGAGAACCCUUUUGGGGAAUAAUAGUCACCAAGGGCCCAGGGAACUGACGCCUGGCUUGGUUAGAGUGUAAUAGGUAUUUCUUCAAAGGCAAUUUGGGGUUGAUGCUCAGUCCUU
rnacentral:lncRNA from 1 species